rnacentral:rRNA from 1 species
UCAACUUUUGACCUCGGAUCAGGUAGGGAUACCCGCUGAACUUAAGCAUAUCAAUAAGCGGAGGAAAAGAAACCAACAGGGAUUGCCCUAGUAACGGCGAGUGAAGCGGCAACACGCUCAAUUUGAAAUCUGGCUCUUUUAGAGUCCGAGUUGUAAUUUGCAGAGGGCGCUUUGGCUUUGGCAGCGGUCCAAGUUCCUUGGAACAGGACGUCACAGAGGGUGAGAAUCCCGUACGUGGUCGCUGGCUAUUGCCGUGUAAAGCCCCUUCGACGAGUCGAGUUGUUUGGGAAUGCAGCUCUAAAUGGGAGGUACAUUUCUUCUAAAGCUAAAUAUUGGCCAGAGACCGAUAGCGCACAAGUAGAGUGAUCGAAAGAUGAAAAGCACUUUGGAAAGAGAGUCAAACAGCACGUGAAAUUGUUGAAAGGGAAGCGCUUGCAGCCAGACUUGCUUACAGUUGCUCAUCCGGGUUUUUACCCGGUGCACUCUUCUGUAGGCAGGCCAGCAUCAGUUUGGGCGGUAGGAUAAAGGUCUCUGUCACGUACCUCCUUUCGGGGAGGCCUUAUAGGGGAGACGACAUACUACCAGCCUGGACUGAGGUCCGCGCAUCUGCUAGGAUGCUGGCGUAAUGGCUGUAAGCGGCCCGUCUUGAAACACGGACCAAGGAGUCUAACAUCUAUGCGAGUGUUUGGGUGUCAAGCCCGAGCGCGUAAUGAAAGUGAACGGAGGUGGGAACCCGCAAGGGUGCACCAUCGACCGAUCCUGAUGUCUUCGGAAGGAUUUGAGUAAGAGCAUGGCUGUUGGGACCCGAAAGAUGGUGAACUAUGCUUGAAUAGGGUGAAGCCAGAGGAAACUCUGGUGGAGGCUCGCAGCGGUUCUGACGUGCAAAUCGAUCGUCAAAUUUGGGCAUAGGGCGAAAGACUAAUCGAC